UACGAAGGGGGCAAGCGUUGUUCGGAAUUACUGGGCGUAAAAGGGCGCGUAGGCGGCUUAUCAAGUCAGGCGUGAAAUUCCCGGGCUCAACCUGGGGGCUGCGCUUGAUACUGAUGAGCUUGAAUGCGGGAGAGGAUAGUGGAAUUCCUGGUGUAGCGGUGAAAUGCGCAGAUAUCAGGAAGAACACCCGUGGCGAAGGCGGCUCUCUGGGACGUGACUGACGGCUGAAGAGCGAAAGC
rnacentral:rRNA from 1 species